rnacentral:piRNA from 1 species
UCGGUGUCUGUUGGUCGAUCGGUCGGGUCU